GCCUGGACCAUAAUUAGUGCUCAAUAAAUAUCAAUAAUUACCAGUACAAGAACUGGCUUUAUGCACAUUUGUUGAAGAAGAAAGGAAAAUGUUGGGAGAAAAAUAGAAAUCUCUGUGAAUUAUUUGUGAAUUUGGGAAAUUCAGAAUAUUCAUUUUUCUGUAUUUCCAUUCAAGCCUUGUGAUUUUUGUCUACUACAUUUUUCUUUCCUUUUACAGAAACAGAUGUUGUUUUUGGUGAUGUAAGUUACCAGGGUUGGGGGUCUGAUCUGGAGGAACUGGGAGGUGAGUUCCAGCCCCUUCCCUCAGUUUCUCAUCAUUGUGGAGCAGUCUUGCCCUCUUCCUUCGAUCAAGCUUCAAAGCUUCAUGGCAACCACAUUUAAUGUUUAUUGCUAAUGUUAUUAGUUUCUAAUCAGAGCCUACUGCGAUUAUUACCUAAUAGCUAUUGCUUUGCACUUCCAACCAGAUGUCAAAAAUAAUGAGCCAAUAAGACUGCUAUUAAUUUAGACUGAAUGACAGUUUUAGGCCCUCGGAGCUGAAGAUUAGGGGCCUCAUAAAAGCAGGGCACAAAUAAUUCGAGUGCUCAAAAGUAAUAGCAAAAAUGGUGAGAAUGUGAAUUAAUAGGUAAGUGUUUCUAAUUUACAAAUGAAACAUGCAGCUUGAAAUAUCAACACUUCUCCUGCAUUCUCCUGCGAUGAAUGGAGCAGUCCUCAUGGAUCCCAGCCUCCAGGAUUUGGGUAGAAUGGCUCAGAAAGUUUGCUGUCUAUAGGAAGAAGAGAUGAUAUUAGCAUAGAUCUGUUUACCUGGUCCUAUUUGGUUCCAGUGAGAGAAUGGGGCCAGGUCAGCAAGUGCCUAGAAGAGACCUUCUCCCGGCAUCAAGCGUUCCAUGAAACGUGUGUCCAUUUUGCUGACAGGCUCUGGUGCAUUCUGAUUGACUUCCAGAUGCCUUUCCUGACAUGCACCCCAUUGUAGAUGAUUAUCCUCCUUCUAACUCAUGGAUGCUGUCAUCCUGUACACCAUUGGGUAUGGGAUGCUUGGGUUCAAAUCUUAAUUGCAUUAUGCUCUGAGGGUGUGACCUUGAGCAAGGUGUCCAUCAUCUCUGAAUCUUAGCUCCCUCCCCUUUUAAGGUGUCCAUAUCAAUAGCACGUAACUUGUAGGAUUACCACUGAUCAUUGGAAGAAAUAGCAGAUACAAGGAUCUCAGCACAGUGCCUGUCACACCAAUGAACUGGAGAAAUUGUCACUGUUGCUUAAACACUAGGGCUCUGUUUCUCCUUCACCUUGAUCAUUUAUUCCCUCUGUUUAUUCAUGCCUUUAGGUACCUAUUUAUCAAAGCAGGAGAAAAAUUUUAAAAAGUUCAUUUCUUUUCUUCCUCCAGUCCUCAUAUAUUAAUCUGUAGACCCAAGCCUGUUUCAUUUCACUUUGUUCUACCAUUUUAAAGACAAACAUUGUCCAAAGGCAUGCUAUGGCUCCUUUUGGUAUAUAUUUGUUUACCAUGGUCCUGUUUGGUUCCAGUGAGAGAAUGGGACCAGGUCAGCAAGUGCCUGGAAGAGGAGACCGUCUCCCAGCAUCACGCAUUUCUCCAUGAAAUGUGUCUCCAUUUUGCUGACAGGCUCUGGUGCAUUCUGAUUGACCUCCAGAUGCACCAGAGCCUGUCAUAUAAGGGGAUGGGGUACGGAGGCGGAGACCCAGUCUGUGCUACAAUACCUUUAGUGUCUGGUGGGUGUCAUGGAGGAAAGAGGUCCCCGAGUGUAAGGGUGGGGUGAGCAGGGAGCAGUAAGGCUGCAGAAGGAGAUGGUGUCCCGUCUGGCCUGAGAAGAUGUUGUUGGAGAGACAAGCUAAUUGCUCUCAAAUGGCUACCUUUUCCACUAGGCACACAGAUACACUCCAGGAUGGAAUGCAGGCAGAAAUCAUGACCUCCAUCCACCUUUAACUUUCCAAGGCCUGGCCCAUAAACCCUCCCUGUCAGGCUUCCUGGUACCUCUUCCCUGGCUGCUAGCUGGAUGCUGAGGCCCUGGGGUGCUGAGCCACUGGUGGAGUGAAGCCUGGGCCUGAAAGGCUGGGUGAAACAGAAGUCAUGGGAUGGGCAGAAGAUGCUGAUCUAGGCUGAUACCUGGCAAACCCUACCUUGUCCUGCCCCUGACACUGCAGAUCUGAGGACGCGCUGGGGGAGCCGAGCAUCCAGGUGUGCAUUUUCCCAUCUUUGCCUCCUUUGCUGUGCCCCAUCCAUGGAUUCUUCCAUUAGUGACCCUGGGAUUUUAAGGCUUGUAGCCUGAGCACUCACAGGGAGGUGUGGGGACUGAGUAAUCCUCUCAAUUGAGCCUGUUAAUAAAUUUGUCACCACACUAGACGAGGGGAAAUGAUUUUAAAUUGAUUCGUGCAGAAUUUUGAUGUGUUCUGCACAUCCAACUUUGCUUUUGGUGCUCUGGUUAAGCAUUGGUGAGUCACCGGUUCAGCCUGAUUAUUCUUGCUGCUGUAAAAGUAGAAAUCAAUAUUAAUAUUUCCUCACUGUUAACCAUCUCUCUAGAACAAAUAUUUUUUCCCCUCCUUCUCCUUCUAUGACUUUGUUAUCUUUGCAUUUCUAAUUGUGUCUGAAAUUUAUGGAGUGUCUUUUUUUUUUUUUGGUAAAGAACUACAGUUUGUGAUGAUGCUGCUUUUCCCAUCACAUCUGGGAUCAGCGUUUGUAAUAGAUUCUCUUUUACGUUCAGCUCCUGAAGAGCACUCUCAUGAUCUGAUAAGAGAAGAUGAUCUUUGCUGGCCCUUUGAGGUAAUGAAUCCUUUUCAUUUGUUUUCUUGCAUACUUUCUAGGUCAGUGAGUGGAGGGAAUUUUUGUCCAACGUGCACCUUGACAGAGCUUCACUGACCACGGGCGGUGUCUCCCUGCUGCCACGCAGCACACCUCUGACCACAGACCUCUCUCCAGAGCCACGUGUUUGCUUCUCACCUGACAGGCUCUGUGAGAGCCCAUCUGUGCUUCCCUGGGAUGUCUGACCGCACGCAUCCCCCACUGUGCAUGGGAGCCCUGCUGGGCCCUAACCUUCAUCACCCCCAAGUGGAUGGUCUCCAUUUUCCAAGCUGGCAGCUCACCCCCUCUCUCUGUGCCUCUGCUGCUGCGGUCCACACACCUGGAAUGCCCUCUGCACCCUGCACACGGCAUCCCCCCUCCUUCAAGCAUCGGUCAGAGGCCCCAUCCUCCUACCAGCUCCCUGAUCGCUCCAGUCUGGUGCAUUCAUUGUGUAUCAUUUCUCGCAGGCCCCUGGGUACAAUAGCUGUUUGUAUCCAUUGGUUAUUAAUCUGGGGGGAAUGGCGGCAAAUUUAUCUUAUAGUCCCACAGGUAAACUUUCUGAACCUCUGGUUUUGUCUGUAGAAUUGGUAUAGCCAUUCCUUCAAAAUAGGUGUUUGAAGAAUAUUCAAUAUUAAAACUAACUAUUUAUAAGUAUGUAAAGCUCCUAACAGAGUAUCUGACACAUAGUAGUAAACACACAAUUAUUGUCUAUAGCAGGUGCAGCCAUUUUCAAACGAAGGAAAAGAGGAAGGAAAGAAGGAAGGCAGA
rnacentral:lncRNA from 1 species